UAACACAUGCAGUCGAACGAUGAAGCCCAGCUUGCUGGGUGGAUUAGUGGCGAACGGGUGAGUAACACGUGAGUAACCUGCCCUUGACUCUGGGAUAAGCGUUGGAAACGACGUCUAAUACCGGAUACGAGCUUCCACCGCAUGGUGAGUUGCUGGAAAGAAUUUUGGUCAAGGAUGGACUCGCGGCCUAUCAGCUUGUUGGUGAGGUAAUGGCUCACCAAGGCGACGACGGGUAGCCGGCCUGAGAGGGUGACCGGCCACACUGGGACUGAGACACGGCCCAGACUCMUACGGGAGGCAGCAGUGGGGAAUAUUGCACAAUGGGCGAAAGCCUGAUGCAGCAACGCCGCGUGAGGGACGACGGCCUUCGGGUUGUAAACCUCUUUUAGCAGGGAAGAAGCGAAAGUGACGGUACCUGCAGAAAAAGCACCGGCUAACUACGUGCCAGCAGCCGCGGUAAUACGUAGGGUGCAAGCGUUGUCCGGAAUUAUUGGGCGUAAAGAGCUCGUAGGCGGUUUGUCGCGUCUGCUGUGAAAUCCCGAGGCUCAACCUCGGGUCUGCAGUGGGUACGGGCAGACUAGAGUGCGGUAGGGGAGAUUGGAAUUCCUGGUGUAGCGGUGGAAUGCGCAGAUAUCAGGAGGAACACCGAUGGCGAAGGCAGAUCUCUGGGCCGCUACUGACGCUGAGGAGCGAAAGGGUGGGGAGCAAACAGGCUUAGAUACCCUGGUAGUCCACCCCGUAAACGUUGGGCGCUAGAUGUGGGGACCAUUCCACGGUUUCCGUGUCGUAGCUAACGCAUUAAGCGCCCCGCCUGGGGAGUACGGCCGCAAGGCUAAAACUCAAAGGAAUUGACGGGGGCCCGCACAAGCGGCGGAGCAUGCGGAUUAAUUCGAUGCAACGCGAAGAAC
rnacentral:rRNA from 1 species